rnacentral:rRNA from 1 species
GUGGGGAAUCUUCCGCAAUGGACGAAAGUCUGACGGAGCAACGCCGCGUGAGUGAAGAAGGUUUUCGGAUCGUAAAGCUCUUUCGUUAGGGACGAACGUGCUCUUUGUGAAUAAUGAGGAGUAAUGACGGUACCUAAAUAAGAAGACACGGCUAACUACGUGCCAGCAGCCGCGGUAAUACGUAGGUGGCAAGCGUUGUCCGGAAUUAUUGGGCGUAAAGCGCGCGCAGGCGGGAUAUCAAGUCUGUCUUAAAAGUGCGAGGCUCAACCUCGUGAGGGGACAGAAACUGGUAUUCUUGAGUGUCGGAGAGGAAAGUGGAAUUCCAAGUGUAGCGGUGAAAUGCGUAGAUAUUUGGAAGAACACCAGUGGCGAAGGCGACUUUCUGGACGAUGUCUGACGCUGAGGCGCGAAAGCUAGGGGAGCGAACGGGAUUAGAUACCCCAGUAGUCC